rnacentral:rRNA from 1 species
UACGGGGGGGGCAAGCGUUGUUCGGAAUUACUGGGCGUAAAGGGCUCGUAGGCGGCCAACUAAGUCGGAUGUGAAAUCCCCAGGCUUAACCUGGGAACUGCAUCCGAUACUGGAUGGCUUGAAUCCGGGAGAGGGAUGCGGAAUUCCAGGUGUAGCGGUGAAAUGCGUAGAUAUCUGGAGGAACACCGGUGGCGAAGGCGGCAUCCUGGACCGGCAUUGACGCUGAGACGCGAAAGCUAGGGUAGCAAACAGG